GGACCACCCUCCAAGGCUAAAUACUACCUAGUGACCGAUAGCGUAUAGUACCGUGAGGGAAAGGUGAAAAGAACCCCGGGAGGGGAGCGAAAUAGAACCUGAAACCCUGCACUUACAAGCUGUGGAAGCACAUUUCUUGUGUGACCGCGUACUUUUUGUAGAACGGGCCAACGAGUUACGUUAAGUAGCAAGGUUAAGCACUUAAGGUGUGGAGC
rnacentral:rRNA from 1 species